rnacentral:rRNA from 1 species
GGGCCUACGGGGCGCAGCAGUGAGGAAUAUUGGUCAAUGGGCGCAAGCCUGAACCAGCCAAGUCGCGUGAGGGAUGACGGUCCUAUGGAUUGUAAACCUCUUUUGUCGGGGAGCAAGGCCCGCCACGUGUGGCGGGAAGGAGAGGACCCGAAGAAAAAGCAUCGGCUAACUCCGUGCCAGCAGCCGCGGUAAUACGGAGGAUGCGAGCGGUGUCCGGAUUUAUUGGGGUUAAAGGGUGCGUAGGCCGAAGGUUAAGUCAGCGGUCAAAUGUCGGGGCUCAACACCGGCCUGCCGU